AGAGUUUGAUCAUGGCUCAGAUUGAACGCUGGCGGCAGGCCUAACACAUGCAAGUCGAGCGGUAACACAGAGAGCUUGCUCUCGGGUGACGAGCGGCGGACGGGUGAGUAAUGUCUGGGAAACUGCCUGAUGGAGGGGGAUAACUACUGGAAACGGUAGCUAAUACCGGCAUAACGUCGCAAGACCAAAGAGGGGGACCUUCGGGCCUCUUGCCAUCAGAUGUGCCCAGAUGGGAUUAGCUAGUAGGUGGGGUAACGGCUCACCUAGGCGACGAUCCCUAGCUGGUCUGAGAGGAUGACCAGCCACACUGGAACUGAGACACGGUCCAGACUCCUACGGGAGGCAGCAGUGGGGGAAUAUUGCACAAUGGGCGCAAGCCUGAUGCAGCCAUGCCGCGUGUAUGAAGAAGGCCUUCGGGUUGUAAAGUACUUUCAGCGGGGAGGAAGGCGAUAAGGUUAAUAACCUUGUCGAUUGACGUUACCCGCAGAAGAAGCACCGGCUAACUCCGUGCCAGCAGCCGCGGUAAUACGGAGGGUGCAAGCGUUAAUCGGAAUUACUGGGCGUAAAGCGCACGCAGGCGGUCUGUCAAGUCGGAUGUGAAAUCCCCGGGCUCAACCUGGGAACUGCAUUCGAAACUGGCAGGCUAGAGUCUUGUAGAGGGGGGUAGAAUUCCAGGUGUAGCGGUGAAAUGCGUAGAGAUCUGGAGGAAUACCGGUGGCGAAGGCGGCCCCCCUGGACAAAGACUGACGCUCAGGUGCGAAAGCGUGGGGAGCAAACAGGAUUAGAUACCCUGGUAGUCCACGCCGUAAACGAUGUCGACUUGGAGGUUGUGCCCUUGAGGCGUGGCUUCCGGAGCUAACGCGUUAAGUCGACCGCCUGGGGAGUACGGCCGCAAGGUUAAAACUCAAAUGAAUUGACGGGGGCCCGCACAAGCGGUGGAGCAUGUGGUUUAAUUCGAUGCAACGCGAAGAACCUUACCUACUCUUGACAUCCAGAGAACUUAGCAGAGAUGCUUUGGUGCCUUCGGGAACUCUGAGACAGGUGCUGCAUGGCUGUCGUCAGCUCGUGUUGUGAAAUGUUGGGUUAAGUCCCGCAACGAGCGCAACCCUUAUCCUUUGUUGCCAGCGGUCCGGCCGGGAACUCAAAGGAGACUGCCAGUGAUAAACUGGAGGAAGGUGGGGAUGACGUCAAGUCAUCAUGGCCCUUACGAGUAGGGCUACACACGUGCUACAAUGGCGCAUACAAAGAGAAGCGACCUCGCGAGAGCAAGCGGACCUCAUAAAGUGCGUCGUAGUCCGGAUUGGAGUCUGCAACUCGACUCCAUGAAGUCGGAAUCGCUAGUAAUCGUAGAUCAGAAUGCUACGGUGAAUACGUUCCCGGGCCUUGUACACACCGCCCGUCACACCAUGGGAGUGGGUUGCAAAAGAAGUAGGUAGCUUAACCUUCGGGAGGGCGCUUACCACUUUGUGAUUCAUGACUGGGGUGAAGUCGUAACAAGGUAACCGUAGGGGAACCUGCGGUUGGAUCACCU
rnacentral:rRNA from 1 species